AGCCUCUAAUGAACUACUUUAAUUCCUGACAUCAUGUAUGAAAACUGCAUAGGCAGUCUGAUUAUUGUCAAGACAGAGGCUU
ensembl:snoRNA